GCCCUUGUAGCGCAAUGGAUAACGCGUUGGACUUUUCAUCCAAAGGUCGUAGGUUCGAAUCCCACCUGGGAUG
rnacentral:tRNA from 1 species